rnacentral:ncRNA from 1 species
UAAAACAUUUUGAAGAGUAGAGUACAAAAUGAAUUUUCUAAGAGAGCUUCAGGUUGGUGUGAUGGAGUGAAAUGAAAUUUUGGAAGAUGGACUCGGAAUGGUGACGGUGAUUGUUUAGCCGUUGACGUGGUUGCGAACGUUAUAACCGCAAGAUUAUACUUGAAAAAGUGUAGUCUACUGAGGCAGUUAGAAUAGCUGCAAACCAAGGUGGUACCACGAUAAAGUUCGUCCUUAAU